CCAGACUGACUCCUCUCAGCAAGGGAGUGCCAGCAGCACCCUUCACUGAACAACAACCUUCUCUUUCAAUGGUGGUGAUCCAAAUCAGCGUGGAGCAGAAUGCACCAUAGAGAUGUACAACUCUCCUGUUGAACACCUCAAGACUGAAGACUGCAAAGAAAGAACGCUAAUGUACACCGAGCAUCUGAAGAACAACAUUCAAGUCCUCAAACACAUUGGAUCCAAAACCUGUUCCAGUUCCUCAGACACCAUCAGAGACUGUUUUGAAAGCCCUCUACUAUCAAUCUGGAUAAAAAGAAACUUUGCCAACCACUGCAAGUAUCAAGUGUUUUAAAUUUUGUUUGACUGUUUAUUAUGUACUUAUUUGUUUUUGGUUGUAUUAAGUUUGAUAUUAAUUAGAUCAGUGCCUUUUUAGUCAUUAAUUUGAUUAUUAAAUAUUAACUGUUUAGGGCAGCACGGUGGCACGGUGGUUAGCACUGUUGCUGCAC